rnacentral:rRNA from 1 species
AUUGAACGCUGGCGGCAGGCCUAACACAUGCAAGUCGAACGAGUGGCGGACGGGUGAGUAAUGUGUGGGAAACUGCCCUAUGGAGGGGGAUAACUACUGGACACGGUAGAUAAUACCGCAUACCAUCGGAUGUGCCCAGGUGGGAUUAGCUAGUAGGUGGGGUAAUGGCUCACCUAGGCGACGCUCUCUAGCUGGUCUGAGAGGAUGACCAGCCACACUGGAACUGAGACACGGUCCAGACUCCUACGGGAGGCAGCAGUGGGGAAUAUUGCACAAUGGGCGCAAGCCUGAUGCAGCCAUGCCGCGUGUAUGAAGAAGGCCUUCGGGUUGUAAAGUACUUUCAGCGGGGAGGCGUUACCCACAGAAGAAGCACCGGCUAACUCCGUGCCAGCAGCCGCGGUAAUAC